ACGGGAGGCAGCAGUGAGGAAUAUUGGACAAUGGGGGCAACCCUGAUCCAGCCAAACCGCGUGAGGGAUGAAGGUCCUACGGAUCGUAAACCUCUUUUAUGUGGGAAUAAUUAGCGGAACGUGUUCCGCUUUGAAGGUACCACUUGAAUAAGCAUCGGCUAACUCCGUGCCAGCAGCCGCGGUAAUACGGAGGAUGCAGGCGUUAUCCGGAUUUAUUGGGUUUAAAGGGAGCGUAGGCCGUGCUUUAAGCGUGUUGUGAAAUGUAGGCGCCCAACGUCUGCACUGCAGCGCGAACUGGAGCACUUGAGUACGCAGGAAGUAGGCGGAAUUCGUCGUGUAGCGGUGAAAUGCUUAGAUAUGACGAAGAACUCCGAUUGGGAAGCCAGCUUACUGUAGCGCCACUGACGCUGAUGCUCGAAAGCGUGGGUAUCGAACAGGAUUAGAUACCCUGGUA
rnacentral:rRNA from 1 species